AUUGAACGCUGGCGGCAUGCCUUACACAUGCAAGUCGAACGGCAGCACGGGAGCAAUCCUGGUGGCGAGUGGCGAACGGGUGAGUAAUGUAUCGGAACGUACCUUUCAGUGGGGGAUAACGUAGCGAAAGUUACGCUAAUACCGCAUAUUCUGUGAGCAGGAAAGCAGGGGAUCGCAAGACCUUGCGCUGAUUGAGCGGCCGAUAUCAGAUUAGCUAGUUGGUGAGGUAAAGGCUCACCAAGGCGACGAUCUGUAGCGGGUCUGAGAGGAUGAUCCGCCACACUGGAACUGAGACACGGUCCAGACUCCUACGGGAGGCAGCAGUGGGGAAGUUUGU
rnacentral:rRNA from 1 species